rnacentral:rRNA from 1 species
CCACUGUGGGGACGCAUGUGGAAAGCAUAAGCCGGGAAUGGAAAGACCGGUACAAGCGGGGUAGGUGUGUGACAGGCAAAUCCGUCACAUAAGCCGAAGACGUGAUGUGGAGCGAAAUUAAGUAGUGAAGUAUGUGAGCCAUGUGCCGAGAAAAGCCGCUAUUGUUUUAUAUGUGCCCGUACCGUAAACCGACACAGGUGGAUGAGGAGAGAAUCCUAAGGCCGACGGAAGAAGCAUUGUUAAGGAAUUCGGCAAAAUGACCCCGUAACUUCGGGAGAAGGGGUGCCCACUGAAUGGUGGGCCGCAGAGAAUAGGCUCAAGCAACUGUUUAGCAGAAACACAGGUCUAUGCGAAACCGAAAGGUGAAGUAUAUGGGCUGACGCCUGCCCGGUGCUGGAAGGUUAAGAGGAGAGGUUAGCGCAAGCGAAGCUUUGAAUUUAAGCCCCAGUAAACGGCGGCCGUAACAAUAACGGUCCUAAGGUAGCGAAAUUCCUUGUCGGGUAAGUUCCGACCCGCACGAAAGGCGUAAUGAUUUGAGCACUGUCUCGACAAUGCAUCCGGUGAAAUUGAAGUACCAGUGAAGAUGCUGGUUACCCGCGCCAGGACGGAAAGACCCCAUGGAGCUUUACUCCAGUUUGAUACUGGGAUUCGGUACUGCACGUACAGGAUAGGUGGGAGACUGAGAACUAUGGACGCCAGUCUGUAGGGAGUCGCUGUUGGGAUACCACCCCUGUAGUACUGGGUUUCUAACCAACUGCCGUGAUCCGGCAGUGGGACAAUGUCAGGCGGGGAGUUUGACUGGGGCGGUCGCCUCCGAAAGGGUAUCGGAGGCGCUCAAAGGUUCCCUCAGAAUGGUCGGAAACCAUUUGAAGAGUGCAAAGGCAGAAGGGAGCUUGACUGCGACACCGACGGGUGGAGCAGGUACGAAAGUAGGACUUAGUGAUCCGGUGGUAUAAAGUGGGAUUGCCAUCGCUCAACGGAUAAAAGCUACCCUGGAUAACAGGCUUAUCACUCCCAAGAGUUCACAUCGACGGAGUGGUUUGGCACCUCGAUGUCGGCUCAUCGCAUCCUGGGGCUGUAGCAGGUCCCAAGGGUUGGGCUGUUCGCCCAUUAAAGCGGUACGCGAGCUGGGUUCAGAACGUCGUGAGACAGUUCGGUCCCUAUCCGGCGCGGGCGGAGGAUAUUUGAGAGGAGCUGUCCUUAGUACGAGAGGACCGGGAUGGACGGACCACUGGUGUAUCUGUUGUCGACCAACGGCAUGGCAGAGUAGCCAAGUCUGGAAGGGAUAAACGCUGAAGGCAUCUAAGCGUGAAGCCCCCCUCAAGAUGAGAUAUCCCUCCUUCGGGAGCAAGACACCUUGAAGACUACAAGGUAGAUAGGGCAGAGGUGGAAGUGUGGCAACACAUGGAGCUGACUGUUACUAAUAGGUCGAGGGCUUGAUC